GGAAUUUUGGACAAUGGGCGCAAGCCUGAUCCAGCAAUGCCGCGUGAGUGAAGAAGGCCUUCGGGUUGUAAAGCUCUUUUGUCAGGGAAGAAACGGUGAGAGCUAAUAUCUUUUGCUAAUGACGGUACCUGAAGAAUAAGCACCGGCUAACUACGUGCCAGCAGCCGCGGUAAUACGUAGGGUGCAAGCGUUAAUCGGAAUUACUGGGCGUAAAGCGUGCGCAGGCGGUUUUGUAAGUCUGAUGUGAAAUCCCCGGGCUCAACCUGGGAAUUGCAUUGGAGACUGCAAGGCUAGAAUCUGGCAGAGGGGGGUAGAAUUCCACGUGUAGCAGUGAAAUGCGUAGAUAUGUGGAGGAACACCGAUGGCGAAGGCAGCCCCCUGGGUCAAGAUUGACGCUCAUGCACGAAAGCGUGGGGAGCAAACAGGAUUAGAUACCCGAG
rnacentral:rRNA from 1 species